CAUGAUCAUAAGUAUAAGCAAUUAUACGGCGAAACUGCGAAUGGCUCAUUAAAUCAGUUAUCGUUUAUUUGUACCUUACUACUUGACCGUGGUAAUUCUAGAGCUAAUACAUGCUUAAAACCCCGACUCACGAAGGGGUGUAUUUAUUAGAUUAAAAACCAAUGCCCUUCGGGGCUCUUUGGUGAUUCAUAAUAACUUUUCGAAUCGCAUGGCCUUGCGCCGGCGAUGGUUCAUUCAAAUUUCUGCCCUAUCAACUUUCGAUGGCAGGGUCUUGGCCUGCCAUGGUGACAACGGGUAACGGAGGGUUAGGGCUCGACCCCGGAGAAGGAGCCUGAGAAACGGCUACUACAUCCAAGGAAGGCAGCAGGCGCGCAAAUUACCCAAUCCCGACUCGGGGAGGUAGUGACAAUAAAUACUCAGGGCUCUUUUGGGUCUUGUAAUUGGAAUGAGUACAAUUUAAAUCCCUUAACGAGGAACAAUUGGAGGGCAAGUCUGGUGCCAGCAGCCGCGGUAAUUCCAGCUCCAAUAGCGUAUAUUAAAGUUGUUGCAGUUAAAAAGCUCGUAGUUGAACCUUGGGCCUGGCUGGCCGGUCCGCCUCACCGCGUGCACUGGUUCGGCCGGGCCUUUCCCUCUGGGGAACCGCAUGCCCUUCACUGGGUGUGUCGGGGAACCAGGACUUUUACUGUGAAAAAAUUAGAGUGUUCAAAGCAGGCCUAUGCUCGAAUACAUUAGCAUGGAAUAAUAGAAUAGGACGUGUGGUUCUAUUUUGUUGGUUUCUAGGACCGCCGUAAUGAUUAAUAGGGACAGUCGGGGGCAUCAGUAUUCAAUUGUCAGAGGUGAAAUUCUUGGAUUUAUUGAAGACUAACUACUGCGAAAGCAUUUGCCAAGGAUGUUUUCAUUAUUCUGUGAACGAAAGUUAGGGGAUCGAAGACAAUCAGAAUCCGUCGUAGUCUUAACCAUAAACUUUGCCGACUAGGGAUCGGGCGAUGGUUUAUUAUUUGACUCGCUCGGCACCUUACGAGAAAUCAAAGUCUUUGGGUCUGGGGGGGGAGUAUGGUUA
rnacentral:rRNA from 1 species